rnacentral:rRNA from 1 species
AGAGUUUGAUCAUGGCUCAGAACGAACGCUGGCGGCGUGCUUAACACAUGCAAGUCGAACGAGAAAGCUUCCUUCGGGAAGUAAGUAGAGUGGCGCACGGGUGAGUAAUGCGUAGGUAAUCUACCCUUAUGACUGGGAUAACAUUGGGAAACUGGUGCUAAUACCGGAUACACUUCUUUACUGCGGGGUAAAGGAGGAAAGGUGGCCUCUUCAUGAAAGCUACCGUAUAGGGAUGAGCCUGCGUACCAUUAGCUAGUAGGCGGGGUAACGGCCCACCUAGGCAACGAUGGUUAGCGGGUCUGAGAGGAUGAUCCGCCACACUGGAACUGGAACACGGACCAGACUCCUACGGGAGGCAGCAGUGAGGAAUAUUGCGCAAUGGGGGAAACCCUGACGCAGCGACGCCGCGUGAGUGAGGAAGGUUUUCGGAUCGUAAAGCUCUGUCAGAAGGGAAGAAGUGUUAUAUGUUUAAUACGCAUAUAAUUUGACGGUACCUUCAGAGGAAGCACCGGCUAACUCCGUGCCAGCAGCCGCGGUAAUACGGAGGGUGCAAGCGUUGUUCGGAAUUACUGGGCGUAAAGGGCGCGUAGGCGGCUGGAUAAGUCAGAUGUGAAAGUCCAUGGCUCAACUGUGGAAGUGCAUUUGAAACUGUCCGGCUUGAGUAUCGGAGGGGAGUGUGGAAUUCCCGGUGUAGAGGUGAAAUUCGUAGAGAUCGGGAGGAACACCGGUGGCGAAGGCGACACUCUGGACGAAUACUGACGCUGAGGCGCGAAAGCGUGGGGAGCAAACAGGAUUAGAUACCCUGGUAGUCCACGCCGUAAACGAUGAGAACUAGAUGUCGGGAGGGUUAGCCUUUCGGUGUCGUAGCUAACGCGUUAAGUUCUCCGCCUGGGGAGUACGGCCGCAAGGUUGAACUCAAAGGAAUUGACGGGGGCCCCACAGCGGUGGAU